AAAAGGGCCCCAACUCUUCUCUCUGCUCAGGAAUCGGGUCACUGGGUGCUUUGUUUUCCUUCUCUGUGGUGGGAAUUUGGUCGGUGCUGCUGGCAUGACUCGGGCCGGCGCCGUGGUGGCCACACAGCAGAAACCUUGAGGACAAGUGAGGCUACUGGGACAUCGUUCUGGCAGCACGAAGCGGGAAUUCAAGUCAAAGCUGCAGCAGCAGGGAUGAAGGAAAAACCACCAGAGGUGAUGCCCACCCAGGUGUGUGAGCUACCCGGGAGGGGAGAGUGGAGAGUGAGGAGCCUGAAGCAAGAGUGGAGCUCAUCUAAUUUGUAGUCACCAGACCAGAUACACAUUCAUCCAUGGUGAGCUGAACAGUGGUUCAGCUGCUGCUCCAGCCACCCCCUGCCCUGAGGUGGGUGACAGCAACAUCUCAACACCUUUCAAACUCAGAGAGCAAAGAGCUGGCAGGUAGGACAACUCCUGCAGCCACCGGCAUGCUGGCCUGUUGGGGUGCUGGUGGUACUUUUGAUGUUUACACAUGGGAGAGAAACAGUUCAAUGCUUCUGCUAAACCCCCUUCAGA